AUUGAACGCUGGCGGCAUGCCUUACACAUGCAAGUCGAACGGUAACAGGUUAAGCUGACGAGUGGCGAACGGGUGAGUAAUAUAUCGGAACGUGCCCAGUCGUGGGGGAUAACGUAGCGAAAGCUACGCUAAUACCGCAUACGAUCUACGGAUGAAAGCGGGGGAUCGCAAGACCUCGCGCGAUUGGAGCGGCCGAUAUCAGAUUAGCUAGUUGGGGAGGUAAAGGCUCACCAAGGCGACGAUCUGUAGCUGGUGUGAGAGGACGACCAGCCACACUGGAAAGGAGACACGGUCCAGCCUCCUACGGGAGGAAGCAGUGGGGAAUUUUGGACAAUGGGCGCAAGCCUGAUCCAGCAAUGCCGCGUGCAGGACGAAGGCCUUCGGGUUGUAAACUGCUCUUGUACGGAGCGAAACGGUCUUCUCUAAUACAGGGGGCUAAUGACGGUACCGUAAGAAUAAGCACCGGCUAACUACGUGCCAGCAGCCGCCGUAA
rnacentral:rRNA from 1 species